AUGGAGUGUGAAACAAAGCAAAAAGUGAGAAAAACUGGGAUGGAGUAAGAGUGUUAGCCCUCAGAGUGUUUCAGGAGCCCCUGGCUGGUUCCCAGCAGUUGCCUUUACUUGAAUUUCCAAGCAAAAAUACUGGUGACCACAAGAGCCACAGAAUCCCAUAGCACCACUCACAGAGACCAAAUAAUGAGAUUUCAGAGUUGCAGUGGGGAAAGCGGAAGAUGCAAAGGAAACUCAACCUAUGUGGUCAUUUGCAAUUUUUUUUCUAUCCCAUCGGCCGUGAGAAAAAAAAAAAGGUAAGAAAAGUGGGAACAGGCAGCGGGAGAGAUGUCAAGGGUUUCUGAAAGAGUCGUGCAUGGCUGAGGAUAGAAAGAAGGUUCGAUGAAAGGGGCAGAACCACAGAAAAGGAGAAGACAUCGCCUUCCUCAAGCCCUCCUCCUACCCAGCUUCUUGGGGCUAAUUCCAGCAGCCUCUGUCUGCCUUUCAAGUGAAAUUCCACCCUUAAGCACCAGCAGGGUCCCAGGAGUAAGAGGAAGACCUUUAUCGAGACUGAAUUCUUGGCUUGGCCAACGUCCCCACUGCUCUUUGUUGUAAGGAGAAAGAAUACAGUCUGUAAAGCUCCCUCCCUUCACACCCCGGGGCCUUUGGAUCUCUUUGCCAGAGAGGAGCUAAGAAAGAAGGAGGUGACUCAGAACUCGCUUCUCAGAACCUGGAGUGGGAACCCAGCUGGGCUGCAGGAAGUGUGGGGUCGGGAGUGAAAGAACCCCCACAUCCAUUCCCCGCUUUUAGCUCCGAGCAGCCUCCUGCCUACUGCUAGUCCCCAUGAGUUCACUUCCUCUGCUUCUGCUGACAUCAGUGCAGAUCUUGUCACAGAAAGGCCUCCACAUAGAUAAGGCUGGGUUCCUGCCAUUACUACCUUCAGAGAUUUGAUCAUUUCGUAGAGUUUCAGCGGAGAGGUUAAAAAAAAUUUCCGGACAUUGAAACAUGUCGGUGAACAACAAUACAAGGCAACCUACAGUAGAUCCCACCUGGGCUUUUUCCUCAUAAAAGAAUCUCAAAAUGGCUCCAAGCCUGCAUUUGGUUCCCAAAACUCAGAUGGUGGAAGGGAAGAAUGGAUUCCCACUGACCUUUCCAUCCUCACUUGGCAUACCCACAUCCACACACAAAAUUUAAAUGUAAUAAAAAAUGUUUAAAUAAAUAAA
rnacentral:sRNA from 1 species